ensembl:lncRNA
AAAGGUUUGAAGGUCAGAAUCAAAAGUUCAAGGCCCUGCUUUUAACAGGCAUUCCAGUAACUGCUCUCAAUUUAUAACCAAAUACUUAUGCCUGGCAAAGAACCAGUUCAUGGGAAAAUGAGGCAGUACUUCCAUCAACCCUAAGGAAGGUAUGGGCAGCUGGAGGACAGGCAUCCUUGGUGAGGACCCCUUGUCUUAUUUUGCAGUGCCUCUUCGAGGAUCUAGAAGAGAUCUAAGCAGCUGCUUCUGGAGAAAUCUCUUAGAGAUAGAAGCCGCAGAGUUGAGACUGUGUACCCAGCUGGAGACCAGCUUCAUGCUAGUUUCCUUAUUUUGAUAUUGAAGAAUGGGAGGAAGGAUGUGAUGAUACCAGUCAUGAUAAUAUUUGGUGGAAAGGAGAAAUGUGAAGAAAAAGACUAAGAGACUGUGGC